GGAGAGAUGGCAGAGUCCGGUUGAAUGCGCCGCACUCGAAAUGCGGUUAACCCUUUGGGUUACGGGGGUUCGAAUCCCUCUCUCUCCG
rnacentral:tRNA from 1 species